rnacentral:rRNA from 1 species
CGCGUAGGCGGGCCUUCAAGUCGGAUGUGAAAACUGGCGGCUCAACUGCCAGCUUGCAUUCGAUACUGUAGGUCUUGAGUACAGGAGGGGAGAGUAGAAUUCCAGGUGUAGCGGUGAAAUGCGUAGAUAUCUGGAAGAAUACCGGUAGCGAAGGCGACUCUCUGGACUGAUACUGACGCUAAAGCGCGAAGGCUAGGGUAGCAAACA